UACAGAGACCCCGAGCGUUAUCCGGAUUUAUUGGGCGUAAAGAGUCUGUAGGCGUCCUGUUAAGUCUUAGGUUAAAUCCCACCGCUCAACGGUGGAUCAGCCUGGGAAACUAGCAGGAUUGAGGUUGGGAGAGGUAAGCGGAAUUGCCGGUGUAGUAGUAAAAUGCGUUAAUAUCGGCAAGAACACCAAAGGCGAAGGCAGCUUACUAGAACAAACCUGACGCUGAGAGACGAAAGCGUGGGGAGCGAAU
rnacentral:rRNA from 1 species